rnacentral:tRNA from 1 species
GGCCCCUUAGCUCAGUGGUUAGAGCAGUCGACUCAUAAUCGAUUGGUCAUUGGUUCUUAUUUGGGGUUG